rnacentral:rRNA from 1 species
UGGGGAAUAUUGCACAAUGGGCGCAAGCCUGAUGCAGCCAUGCCGCGUGUAUGAAGAAGGCCUUCGGGUUGUAAAGUACUUUCAGCGGGGAGGAAGGCGAUAAGGUUAAUAACCUUGUCGAUUGACGUUACCCGCAGAAGAAGCACCGGCUAACUCCGUGCCAGCAGCCGCGGUAAUCAGGAGGGGGCAAGCGUUAAUCGGAAUUACUGGGCGUAAAGCGCACGCAGGCGGUCUGUCAAGUCGGAUGUGAAAUCCCCGGGCUCAACCUGGGAACUGCAUUCGAAACUGGCAGGCUAGAGUCUUGUAGAGGGGGGUAGAAUUCCAGGUGUAGCGGUGAAAUGCGUAGAGAUCUGGAGGAAUACCGGUGGCGAAGGCGGCCCCCUGGACAAAGACUGACGCUCAGGUGCGAAAGCGUGGGGAGCAAACA